AUAUCCUCUGUGAUCCCGAUGUAUGGCCACGUGACCACAGUGAUGGCGUCACGGUAUGGCGCUGUCGGGCGGGGGACGGACUCACACUGGGAGCGUUUAUGAUUUAGUAGUAGGUCGGAGCGUGAUGUCAUCAUAUGGCGCCACCGGCUAGGGGGCUGACCAGCACCGUGACACAUAAUUGGGGAGCACUAGGAGCAAAUAGCUACAUGAGUAAGUCAUCUGACUGCAAUAUGAAAGGCCAUAGGCUCCUGGGUAUAACAUCAUUAAUGUGUGCUUUAAAAAAAAGGAUGAUGUGACUGAAGGUCCUGGGUAUGACUGAGAAAACUGCAAUUUAAAGAAGCACAUUUAAAAAGAACAUUACAGUCAUUAGCGACAAGAGUCCUUUCUAUCAAGCGUGAUCUCAAGGCUGAUUCAUAU